rnacentral:rRNA from 1 species
UACGUAGGUGGCAAGCGUUAUCCGGAAUUAUUGGGCGUAAAGCGCGCGCAGGCGGUUUCUUAAGUCUGAUGUGAAAGCCCACGGCUCAACCGUGGAGGGUCAUUGGAAACUGGGGAACUUGAGUGCAGGAGAGAAGAGUGGAAUUCCACGUGUAGCGGUGAAAUGCGUAGAGAUGUGGAGGAACACCAGUGGCGAAGGCGACUCUGUGGCCUGUAACUGACGCUGAGGCGCGAAAGCGUGGGGAGCAAACAGG